rnacentral:rRNA from 1 species
CCAANGUAUGCUUUGGAAACUGUUAGACUUGAGUGCAGAAGGGGAGAGUGGAAUUCCAUGUGUAGCGGUGAAAUGCGUAGAUAUAUGGAGGAACACCGGUGGCGAAAGCGGCUCUCUGGUCUGUCACUGACGCUGAGGCUCGAAAGCGUGGGUAGCGAACAGGAUUAGAUACCCUGGUAGUNCACGCCGUAAACGCUGAGUGCUAGGUGUUAGGUCCUUUCCGGGACUUAGUGCCGACGCUAACGCAUUAAGCACUCCGCCUGGGGAGUACGACCGCAAGGUUGAAACUCAAAGGAAUUGACGGGGGCCCGCACAAGCGGUGGAGCAUGUGGUUUAAUUCGAAGCAACGCGAAGAACCUUACCAGGUCUUGACAUCCCGAUGCCCGCUCUAGAGAUAGAGUUUUACUUUUUGUACAUCGGAGACAGGUGGUGCAUGGUUGUCGUCAGCUCGUGUCGUGAGAUGUUGGGUUAANNNNNNNAACGAGCGCAACCCUUAUUGUUAGUUGCCAUCAUUAAGUUGGGCACUCUAGCGAGACUGCCGGUAAUAAACCGGAGGAAGGUGGGGAUGAUGUCAAAUCAUCAUGCCCCUUAUGACCUGGGCUACACACGUGCUACAAUGGUUGGUACAACGAGUCGCAAGCCGGUGACGGCAAGCUAAUCUCUGAAAGCCAAUCUCAGUUCGGAUUGUAGGCUGCAACUCGCCUACAUGAAGUCGGAAUCGCUAGUAAUCGCGGAUCAGCACGCCGCGGUGAAUACGUUCCCGGGCCUU